CCUACGGGGGGCACCAGUGAGGAAUUUUCCACAAUGGGGGCAACCCUGAUGGAGCAACGCCGCGUGCAGGAGGACGCUUUUCGAAGUGUAAACUGCUCUUCUCUGGGAAGACACCCGACGGUACCAGAGGAACAAGCCCCGGCUAACUACGUGCCAGCAGCCGCGGUAAUACGUAGGGGACGAGCGUUGUCCGGAGUUACUGGGCGUAAAGCGCCCGCAGGCGGUCUGCCGCGUUCACUCUCACAGCUGCCGGCUCAACUAGCAGAGUGGGGUGAAGACGGGUCGACUUCGAGGACCAGAGAAGGACAUGGAACUCCGGGUGGAGUGGUGAAAUGCGUAGAGAUCCGGAAGAACACCAAAGGCGGAGGCAGUGUCCUGGCUGGUACCUGACGCCGGGGGGCGAAAGCCAGGGGAGCGAACGGGAUUAGAUACCCGUGUAGUC
rnacentral:rRNA from 1 species